GAUGAACGCUGGCGGCGUGCCUAAUACAUGCAAGUCGAGCGAACGGACGAGAAGCUUGCUUCUCUGAUGUUAGCGGCGGACGGGUGAGUAACACGUGGAUAACCUACCUAUAAGACUGGGAUAACUUCGGGAAACCGGAGCUAAUACCGGAUGAUAUUUUGAACCGCAUGGUUCAAAAGUGAAAGACGGUCUUGCUGUCACUUAUAGAUGGAUCCGCGCUGCAUUAGCUAGUUGGUAAGGUAACGGCUUACCAAGGCAACGAUGCAUAGCCGACCUGAGAGGGUGAUCGGCCACCCUGGACCUGAGACACGGUCCAGACUCCUACGGGAGGCAGCAGUAGGGAAUCUUCCGCAAUGGGCGAAAGCCUGACGGAGCAACGCCGCGUGAGUGAUGAAGGUCUUCGAUCGUAAAACUCUGUUAUUAGGGAAGAACAUAUGUGUAAGUAACUGUGCACAUCUUGACGGUACCUAAUCAGAAAGCCACGGCUAACUACGUG
rnacentral:rRNA from 1 species